CCAAUAGCGUAUAUUAAAGUUGUUGCAGUUAAAAAGCUCGUAGUUGAACUUCGGGAUCAAUGAAUCGGUCAUGCUUUCGUAUGUACUGGUUUUAUUGGUUCUCACCUUCUAAGGAACCAUAAUGUCAUUCAUUUGAUGUUAUGGGGAAUUAGGACUGUUACCUUGAAAAAAUUAGAGUGUUUAAAGCAGGCUAACGCUUGAAUACAUUAGCAUGGAAUAAUGAAAUAGGACGUUUGAUCUUAUUUUGUUGGUUUCUAAGAUCGACGUAAUGAUUAAUAGGGAUAGUUGGGGGCAUUAGUAUUCAAUUGUCAGAGGUGAAAUUCUUGGAUUUAUUGAAGACUAACUACUGCGAAAGCAUUUGCCAAGGAUGUUUUCAUUAAUCAAGAACGAAAGUUAGGGGAUCGAAGACGAUCAGAUACCGUCGUAGUCUUAACCAUAAACUAUGCCGACUAGGGAUCGGAUGAUGUUAAUUUUUUAAUGACUCAUUCGGCGCCUUACG
rnacentral:rRNA from 1 species